rnacentral:lncRNA from 1 species
AGCACCUCCUCUCCAUAACUCUUUCUCAUCCUCAUCUCCUCCAGUUGUCCUUCUUCAACCUUUGAAAAGGUUCGAGAGAUUUGAAGAAAGGAUCCAGAUUAGCCAACAAGAUGAUCUUCGUGUGAGCUUGCACUUUCGAGAAGAUCGAUUAGAUUGAAACUUCGAAUGGACUUUUUGUAGAGAUCGGAUAUGUAUCUGGCUACGAGCUGUAGGAACCAGAUCUAGAGUUUCAGGGUU